CUGCAAACCUUUCUCGACGAAAGAGAGUAGCAGUAGCACACACACUCAAAAACCCCAUUCCCUAUGUACACCUUCGCUCAUCUUCCUCACCCAUCCUUUCCGGUUGCGUAGCGUCUCCAAUUCCAGCGUCGCCUUUCCUGUUCAAGUCUCUCUCUCUCUCUCCUUUUCUUUCUUUCUUUGCUUUUUUUGGUUGUAUAUUUCAUCGAAAGCAUCAAAUUAGGGUUUUGAUUUGUACUACGAUUGCGGUUCGGUUUCAGAAACAGCCAUGCCUCGGUACUACUGUGAUUAUUGCGACACUUACUUGACGCAUGAUUCUCCCUCUGUUAGAAAGCAACAUAAUGCAGGUUAUAAACAUAAGGCAAAUGUGAGAUCCUAUUAUCAACAGUUUGAGGAGCAACAAACCCAAAGUCUGAUAGACCAAAGGAUAAAGGAACAUCUUGGACAAGCUGCAGCAUUCCAGCAGGUUGGAGCUGCAUACAAUCAGCAUCUACUGCAGAGGCCCCGCCUUCCUGUUCUACCAACACCUAUGAUGCCCAUUCCAGGGAGUGCACAGUUACCUGCAAAUACACCACUAAUGCCUGGGAUUAGGCCUCCUCCUGUCUUGCCAAGACCUGUUCCUGCUGCCCCAGGUUACAUGUCUUCUCCAGCCAUGCCACCUAUGGUGGCACCACCAGGCGCUCCUUCCUUACCUGGUCAAGUUAAUGGUCUUCCAAGGCCUCCUAUGUCAAUUCCCCCAGCAACUGUUCCUGGAAGUGCAGCAGUAGCCCCUCCUAGUGGUGCCCCCUCCAUGGUUCCACCUGCUAGUUAUCAAACUAAUCCAGCACCACCCACUAGUGCAGGCUUUGAUAGCUUCAAUAACACCCCAAAUCUUGAGGCUAAUCAUUAAUCUGAUCAAAUUGGUAUUUUUUCCUCCUGUUUCUUAGUGAAGAAAGGAAGUUGAAAAGCAACCUUAUACAUCUAUUUGGAAUCUUUUGAUGAUUAAAUGAUGUUUGUAAACUUUUUUCUAGGGUAAUGAGAUUUAAAGCACUCCAGUUCAGAAGUGUUCUUUUGAAUGGUUUAAUGACAAUCUGCUUUUGUUAAAGGCAUUGAGAAGAAACCAAAAACACCACUUGCACAUUGUGCCGCCUUCAGUAGACCUUACCAUAUGGUAUGUAAUGUGCUCCUAUGUGGUGCUAGACCCAUUAUGGUUGAGAAUGACCAUCACUGUGAACUUCAAUUACUGUAAAAUAGACGUAAUUAAACAAAAAAUAUCAAGAUUUAGCUGAAGAGGUUUGCUUUUCCCUGAAUUAAAAUUUUCAUUUGUUCUGGACAUUGUACAGUCUUUUGUGCUUGAUGCCACGGUUGUUUAAGUGAAUCUAUACAUUGCUAGCA